UACAGAGGUCUCGAGCGUUGUUCGGAUUCAUUGGGCGUAAAGGGUGCGUAGGCGGCGUGGUAAGUCUGGUGUGAAAUCCUGGGGCUUAACUCCAGAAAUGCACUGGAUACUGCCAUGCUAGAGGACUGGAGAGGAGAUUGGAAUUCACGGUGUAGCAGUGAAAUGCGUAGAUAUCGUGAGGAAGACCAGUGGCGAAAGCGAAUCUCUGGACAGUUCCUGACACUGAGGCACGAAGGCCAGGGGAGCAAACGGG
rnacentral:rRNA from 1 species